UUCGAUUGUGCCAGCAGCCGCGGUAAUACAGAGGGUGCAAGCGUUAAUCGGAUUUACUGGGCGUAAAGCGUGCGUAGGUGGCCAAUUAAGUCAAAUGUGAAAUCCCCGAGCUUAACUUGGGAAUUGCAUUCGAUACUGGUUGGCUAGAGUAUGGGAGAGGAUGGUAGAAUUCCAGGUGUAGCGGUGAAAUGCGUAGAGAUCUGGAGGAAUACCGAUGGCGAAGGCAGCCAUCUGGCCUAAUACUGACACUGAGGUACGAAAGCAUGGGGAGCAAACAGGAUUAGAUACCCUGGUAGUCCAUGCCGUAAACGAUGUCUACUAGCCGUUGGGGCCUUUGAGGCUUUAGUGGCGCAGCUAACGCGAUAAGUAGACCGCCUGGGGAGUACGGUCGC
rnacentral:rRNA from 1 species